ensembl:snRNA
GUGUUUUAUGAAAGCGAAGAAUCAGGUUAGCACUCCCCUUGAGAAGAAUGGAAAAAAAUUCCAGUGCCCCGUAGCACAUACAUACAUUGAAGCUACCACUAUCUCUUUAUAAUACCCAACAGUAUUUCUU